rnacentral:rRNA from 1 species
UACGGGGGGGGUAAGCGUUGUUCGGAAUUACUGGGCGUAAAGGGCUCGUAGGCGGCCAACUAAGUCAUACGUGAAAUCCCUCAGCUUAACCGGGGAACUGCGUCUGAUACUGGAUGGCUUGAGUUUGGGAGAGGGAUGCGGAAUUCCAGGUGUAGCGGUGAAAUGCGCAGAUAUCAGGAAGAACACCCGUGGCGAAGGCGGUUCUCUGGAACGCAACUGACGCUGAGACGCGAAAGCGUGGGGAGCAAACAGG